GUAAACUAUGCCAUCUAGCGAUCCAAUGGGGUAUUGUAGCCUUGUUGGGGAGCUUCCCGGAAACGAAAGUCUUUCGGUUCCUGGGGUAGUAUGGUUGCAAAGCUGAAACUUAAAGAAAUUGACGGAAGGGCACCACCAGGAGUGGAGCCUGCGGCUUANUUUGACUCAACACGGGAAAACUCACCCGGCCCGGACACCCUUAGGAUUGACAGAUUGANAGCUCUUUCUCGAUUUGGUGGUUGGUGGUGCAUGGCCGUCCUUAGU
rnacentral:rRNA from 1 species